rnacentral:lncRNA from 1 species
UAAUUUUACCUGUCAACAAUCUGCAGCACAGAAGGUUGUUUCUGAAUUUCCUGGCUCUAGAAGUUACGGAGAUACUUAUGAAAAUGUACUUAACUGCCAGUGAGUCAGCAUUCGUCGGUCUGAAACUCAUUUCCAGGAAUUAUGUGAUUUACAAGACUUGACUUCCAAACCUGGCGACUGACAUAGCAAAAGCAAGAAUAAAGAAACUCUCAAAUAUAAACGCCAGACGUCUUUCAAAUGCAAAAUACAGCAUGGUUUCUUCACUGAUCUCAAGAUGAAAGGUCACACUGAGCUGGAAAAGGAAACAUUCUUUAAAUUUAACAGUACUAAUGAAGACCAUUYUUGUUCUUUUGGAUUCAUCAAAUGUGGAACGAAUGCUUCAGGUGUAUUACCAGCAUCAUAACAAUGGACAGUAUCUGCUUCUGGCACCUAAGCAGAGUAAAUCCGAGGUUCUUGAUGGCCAUCCUUUCUAAGAACUGUCCAUUCUGCAGUCCCAUAAUGUCCAUAAAAUCCUGACAUUUCUUUUAUGGAGUCAAGACAAACCUUCAAGGCUGCAGAACUUGGCUUAUUGUUGCAGCAAGCCAAGACGAGCAGGUACCAUGUGACUCUGCAAAAUCAGAGGGUCCAGCUGACUUCAGCAGACUCCAUAUGGGCAGCAUUGAUUUGAAUGUGCACCCUGAAUCCUUGAAGGAUUCAGUCCCUCCCAUGCAGAAGAAGGACAAAUUCUGAGGUGAGAACUGCCCAACCAGGGAUCAGCUUUGGAAUGAAACAG